rnacentral:rRNA from 1 species
UACGUAGGCGGAAGAUUAAGUCAGCGGUGAAAUCCUGCAGCUUAACUGUAGAACUGUCAUUGAUACUGGUUUUCUUGAAUUUAGUUGAGGUAGGCGGAAUGUGUAAUGUAGCGGUGAAAUGCUUAGAUAUUACACAGAACACCGAUUGCGAAGGCAGCUUACUAAACUAUGAUUGACGCUGAGGUACGAAAGCGUGGGGAGCGAACAGGAUUAGAUACCCUGGUAGUCC